UUAUGGAUCCCUAAGGAGAAGGCUGGGGAAGAAUCAUCAUAAAUAUUGCACAAAGGAAGCUAGAAUCACCCUGUGAGCGUGCCCUGGGAAUGGAUCAGACCCUGCUGGAACAAACACACUUUAAUACUUUGGGGACAUCAGGAGAUGACUUAGGAAGGAAGAAAAUGAUUUAACAUGCACGUGGAAUGAUUCGU